UCAAUGAUGGGGAGGACUAUUGGCUUCUCGCAAAUCAGUGGAACAGAGAAUGAGGAGAUGAUGGUUACUUCAAGAUCCGAAGAGGGAAAAACGAAUGUGGGAUUGAAGAGGAUGUAACUGCUGGUUGGCCUUCCACCAAAAACCUCGUCAUAGAGGUUUUUUUUACGAGCAUUAAACCUUACUAUGUUGUGGUUGUUUAAAUCUUUUGUUGUUGGUUCGUUGUUUCAUUAUUAUUAUUUGUUUGAAUUUGAAAUUUGGUUUGGUAGAAUUUUAAAAUGUGUCAAGUCCUUAGUUGAUAAUGAAUAUAAGAAUAUAAUCAAUU